ensembl:lncRNA
GAAAUGAAGCUCGAGUGGCCCAUGCUCACAUCUACGGAGCCCUGCGACGAAUUCCGCCCGAUAGUCACCGACCGCUUCUUCAUCAGGUACUCGAACUCGCGGCCCUCCAAGCGGGCCACGGCCCAGUCCCCCGGCGGGGACCCUCUACAGCCGCCACCGCCGUCACCGUCGCCGCCACCACCACCACCGGACCCGGCCGGGGGGGCCGAACCUGUGCUGGAGAGCAUCGCCGCCGCCAUCCCGGGGCCUGGAAGGAAUGCAGCUCAGCAAUGGGGCUAUCGACGACUAGCCUAUGGCAGGGAACAUCGGCCAUUAUGUUCGGUUGUAGAGCCCUAGAGCAAGCUAGACUUUGGAAAAUACGGAAAACCUGGAAGCGGCCGAGCACGGAAAUCUGGAAUGUGGGUUCUAUGCACUAAACCCUAGCCUGGCUAGGGGUAGAGUGGCUGUCCCUAAGCUCCGGAGGGAGGGCGCUACGAGGUCAAGAAAGACAAGCUCCAUGGCCCUGGGUGGAGCCACUGUAGUCUUUAAACAUCACGCCAGACCCUCAAGGUCACAGAGGGGACGGAAGACAUGACAACUGUUUUCUUUCUCCUCUGAACCCUCCACCCUGAGGAAUAAUCUGAACGUGGCCUCAGGGCGGCUGAAGGUGGCAGAGCGCCCCAGGUCCCAGACGUAAAAAAGGGCACCGGAGUUGCCGAGGAUGUGCAUGUAGCCUAUCUCUGACACCGAGGGGCUUAACAGGAGAAAGUGGCAUUUGUCUCACUAGCCACCAGAUCACUGGGGUGUGAAGGACCAGCCGUUUUGGACCAGGUUGUGCUUUGGGCCUGGCUUGACUCUUAGGAGUUCAAAGGGAGUCUUAAAAGGUGUCACUCUUAAAAUGCCUUUCCAUCUAGAAUCACUAAGGACUUUGGGGAAAAAAAAUAUUUAUCUUUCUCUUUUUGCACAAUGAUAGCUUAAUAAUCUGAGGCAUCAGCCUGCUGUAGUUCACACGGUCACAAAACUUAAAAUGGGAAAAGGGAGGAAUUACUAAAACUUAAUUAUCUACUUAAUUAGCUGAGUGACUAAAUGUCCAAUUAGUACCAGCUUUUUACAAAAAUUCAGUCAAAGCUAACUUGUGUUAAAGGAGGUCCAGGGGCAGCUAGGUAGCACAAUGGAUAGAGCACCAGCCCUGGAGUCAGGAAGACCUGAGUUCAAAUCCAGUGUCAGACCAUAACACCUUACUAGCUGUGUGACUCUCGGCAGGUCACUUAACCCCAAUUGUCUUGCCAAAAAAAAAAAAACAAAAUGAGGUCCAAAUCCCUUUAUUUCUCUAGGCCUGUUUCUGAUCUUUAUGGCCCGUUUUUCUAGAGAUGUCAAUGGGGAUAUUCAUGUGGCAAAACUAUUAAAAUCACACAAAUAUAUCACAAGAACUAUUAUUUAGCUCAUUUGGCUUACUGGACCUCUACUCUGUGGGUCCAAGGGAAAAUAACACAUGACCCGUGUCCAUGACGAAUUUUCAAUCCAGUUGGAGAUGAAAGAACUACACAAAUUAAACAAUUAGUAGACUAGCAGGUACUCCUAAAUAUAAUUGAUAAACUAUAUAGUACAGACAUUUAUUCAACAGCUAUUUAUCAGUACUCCCUGAAACCUCCAUUUGAGAAAGUUCCAGCACCAGCCAUGCUUGCUUCAAACCUGUCAGCCUCUCAACUCUCCAAACUACUUUUCCACCUUUCCCCUACACUGAUAAACACACACACACACACACACACACUUUUCAGCUCCCUUUUAUGUGUUGUUUUCUCUCAUUAGAAAAUAAACUCCUUGAGAGUAGCUGCUUGAAUUUUUGC